AGGUUUGCAGGUGGUAACUGGGUGGAGCUGAGGGAUUUCAUGCUGCUGGCCUGAGGAAUAGUGUCAGCUCUUGUGUGUGAACUGGGAGGAAACAUGAAGAGGAUGAAAGGUCCAUACAGGAAAAGCCAGCUGUUUUGCUCUGGAAAACAGCAAUGUUUUGCAGUGGUGGAAGGAUUGGUGGCAUGGAUCGUGCUGCUGGAGGAGGGUGAGCUGCUUCCCAAGACACAGGGAUUGGAUCCACACAUCCUGUGGGUGGAGAAGGAGCAGCUGCAGGAGGAUGGCACGGGGACGGGGAUCUUGGUGAUGAGCAGCCCUACAGCAGGGGAGCUAAUGAUGCUUCAGAGAUUGGUGCAUGCUGAACCGAGGUUGAACCAGAAGAAUUGUUCUCAGGAAGGCUUUGCCUGCAAAGGGACAGCAGCUGGAGUCACUCACAGCCCUGUUGAGGAAGGGGAAUCCAGUAUGUCUAACACUGAGCUGUGAAAUGCUGACUGUGUGACUGUGCUGUCUUUUCUUCUGGGGCUGCCUCUGACACUUGCUGUCAGGAUGCAUGAGGGUUUCCAUGCGCUGGAGGCAUUAGGGGACUGUGCCAGCAGGGCUGAGAUCCUCCUGAUGCAGAACUGGCUGCGUGGUGGUCUGUUUUGCUUUCCAGGCAGGAAAAUAGCACUGCAAGGACACACUGGGGGGCACAAACCUCUGCCCACUGUGCUGAAUGCUCUCUGCAAACGACUUUGAAAAAAGCUCUUUGAACCAAUUCCACGUAAGGUGCAGAGAACUUCAUUAUGAAAAAUCUUUGUUUGCUCUGGAAUAACUGAGAGUUUGGGGUACUAUUUUUGCUUGCAAUUUUUGUGAUCAGCUCUCAGCCUCUGUAAAUGCCUCCAUGGGAGCAAUGUGCUUUUUUUUUAAAUUAUUUUUAAAUUGACAUACUGUGUGAAACCACAGUGUGCUCAACACCUUGCCUUUGUGCCAUUGAGAAAUAAAGCAGCAGCCCUAGGCUGGCAUGAACACACCUCUCCUGCCCAUCCCAAUGGGAUGUCCUCAUCGGUCCCUCCUGCUGCUGGAGGCUGCCUGGGUCCUGCUUGCUCAGCUCCUGGGGCACAUCCAUCAGCCUGGGGGAAAAGCCACAGCUGGAUGUGCCCACUUCACCUCUGGCUCCUUUCUCAGGCAUGCUGCUGACAUUAGGAAGGAUGCAAUGCUCAUUGUCCGAGAUGAAUGGCUAUGUCUCAUAGCUAUCUGUCUGGUAAAGGCUUGCUUUGUAGAGACGUGAGACAUGGCUGUAAGCCGGUCUAACCACUAGCCUUAGUAGUGAUUAAUCUGUAAGACUGAUACGUGGUUUUUAUUCUUUCCAU
rnacentral:lncRNA from 1 species